GUCCGGCCUGAUGUUCCUCUCAUACGAGGUCGGGUGGUGUGCCGGGCUGCGGGAGGGCGAGGCGGGGCCAUACGUCGUGUCUUCCCUUCACUUUUGCUCUCUCGGAGCCUGGCAGCGCUCCGAGGAGUCAGCACAGGGGGAUAGAGCGUCUUCCUCACAUAAACCCAGCGCGGAGCCGCCCCUCCGCCCUGCAUCCUGUCGUGAGGCACAAGCGUCCCCUCCCUUCAUCCCCGGCUCCUUCCACCCCUUCCCACGUUGAUUUCUCUCUCCUUCCGCAGCUCUGUCCGCAGGUUGAACCCACCCCGAGGUUCCCGCUGGGCCUCCCGAUGCUCUCCGGGGUUCUGCCCGCCUGGUUGCUCCCCCCCCGGUUGGCCACUGCCAUGGGUUUGCUGGGGAUGGAGACACGCGUGCUGGUGCCGGCAGGAGUCACUUAGCCAGCUUCAAUCAUGAAACUCCUAGAAAUGGAUGAUUGCACCUAAACUGAAAGCAGUUUUCAGGACUCCUUGAUAAUGCAGAGUACCUUCUGUUAGGAAGUUUUCCAGCUUCUCAGGUGUGUUGCUACUCCUUGACUGCCUGGAAUUUUCUUCAUGAGGUGGUGACAAACAGUGUGGAGUCAGAAGAGUUGCUUAUAAGUUGAUUGGUCUCCAGAGAGGAAACCAGCAAGGCAUCAGAGCUGAUCUGCUCAGUGGAUGGUUACCAACUUCAUGAAAGAUCACUCAGUCGUCCUCUGUCAUGUUAGUUGUCCUCUAUAAUGUUUCAUCUUGAACUGAAACAGUUACUCAGACUAUUACAUCUUCAAUGAUCAUGUUUAAACAGUUUAGUUAUUGGUUGCAACAGAAGUUUCUUCAAAGCUGUGGCAAUUGGCAAUUUAUUUCUGUGUGAUUCUGUGUUGAUUGAAAUAAAGGUAAUUAUCACAA